AGAGUUUGAUCCUGGCUCAGGACGAACGCUGGCGGCGUGCCUAACACAUGCAAGUCGAACGGAGCUGAUCCGGUAGCAAUACUGGUGACUGCUCAGUGGCGAACGGGUGCGGAACACGUGAGCAACCUGCCCCGAAGACCGGGAUAACAGAGGGAAACCGCUGCUAAUACCGGAUACCCCCACGAGCCCGCAUGGGUUCG
rnacentral:rRNA from 1 species